GCCCCGGGGCCGUGGAGGCUUCGGGUGCAGCGCACCUUUCCCCUCUGCAUCCUCCUCCCCGCGCGCUGAGCUGCCGGGCCAGGGUGGCACUCCCCCCUUGCUUACGGUGGGGACAUCCCCUCAGCCCUUUAUAAAUAAUGCAAUGAUAUUAAUUAUGCGAUUGAAUUAAUUAUGCGCACGCAGCGUCUACCAGCAGAUCGCUGCUACUGUUUCGCCCCCAACCCCCCCACCCCCCCCAUCAAAAAGCCUUCCUCCAGCUGGCUUUUUGCGACCCACAGCUGAAGGAGCCGGUGUUGGGGAAGGCCUUGAGCCCCGUGCCGGCCACGGAGCGGGUGACAGCACCCAUAUUUCGGCAUCGCGGCCAACGCGCCCCGACCUCCCUCCAACCGCCGGCACAGCUGCACGGGUGGUGUUCCAGCAGAACAGUGCCAGCGCAUUGACAAGCGCAGGCAUCCUCCCCAGGGCUGGGCACCCGAAACAGCCCCGGGUGGGAGCCAGCGGGCAGCAAUGGACCGGCAGUUCGGGUAAGGGCCUGGGAGAAAGGGAGUUGCUCUAGGAAAGGCCAACUAACCACACAAACUUGGGAGCAUUUUGGUAUGGUCACAAAGGCAAGCAGCAGGGGCUGAGGGCUCCUUUCUGCCCCCUGGGCUGGGUGCGGGGACAUUGCCAGCCCAGGCCAGAGGCAAUAAAGCGCCUGGAGUGAUGCAGCAAAACAGGCUGGAGUCGUGUGUUGAAAUAAAUCAUCCAUGGAGGCAAGGCAGGGAGGAGGAGGGUUUCUGCUCUCGCGCCUCCCUGCAUCUAACAAAGCCUCAGAAACCCCGGGUGGGCAGCAAGAGCCGGGUCAGGAUACGGCCCUUCGUGGUUCUGGCUGCCCCAGAGCAGAGCCAGUCCCGACCAGGCGCUCCGAUGCUCCCACUCUCCCGGGAGCUGGUUUUCCAUCCCUUCCCAGCUCUCUUGGCUUCACCUCGUGGCAGGCAAUGCACAGAGCUGCCAGGAGUGAUAAAAUGGCUGUCCCCCAAAUUUAUGGAGUUUAUCUGUGAAUAACUCUUGGAGGUGAAGCAGCCAUUGAGCCGGGGCAGAGGAGGGCUUUAUUUCGGUAUAAACUUCCCCAGGAGCCAUGCAGCGUGGGCAGGAGCCCAGCCCCAGCCCCAGGGACCACGAGGGACGUGCCCCACGCUCCUCCAGCCCCAGCAGCUCGUAGGGAUGGAGCAUCGCCGGGGUGAGCUCCCCGCUCGCCCGUGCUGAGGAAAGCCAAAGGCUCGUUUCCCAUCCGCAGUGUGUUUAUUAGGAGCUAAGUCAUGAAGAGGCUUUGGCACAUCUCCGUUGCUCCCACGGAGCGUCUUUAGCACAGCGGAGAUCGCUGGGCUUUCCAGCCACACAUGUGCACCCGGGAUUUCCACGCCGGCUGGGCGUUGCUCCCCGUUGCUCCAUUCCCGCGGCGAUCUCAUCUUCCCUCCCCCUCAGAAAAGAGGUUUGAUCAACGGGCUAUGGAGCAGCAUCCCAGUUUCUGGGGGAGCACAGCUGAGGCUGAGCAGGCUUGAGCCUCCCCCUCGUCCCCCCUCCCCACUCUGCUGCAGUAACAUCCAUCCUAAGUUUCUGAGCCUCUUCUAAUUUUGGAGGCCGUUAGCAAAGCAGGCGCUGUUGCAGCCAAACGAGACUGCCAAUGUUUCCUUUAAAAGCUGCUUUCACUCCGAAGGACUCUUCUAGAUGGUUUGCUUUUAAUAGCAGGCUGCAGGGUGCAACGCCCAGCUCGUGGCCUGGUGCGGGAAGGGACUGGGUGGCGUUGGGGUGCAGGAUUGGAGCCGUGCACGGAGCCGCACGCGUCCAUCGUGGGUCACAGCCCUGCGCCACGGGCACCCCCUUCCCAGUUCAGACCAGCAAAACUCCCCACCCCCUUGCAGAGCCCACCACCCUGCAGCCCAUCCCUCUCUUCUCUCUCCCGCUCUUGGGGAAAUCUUUAAGGCAGAGGGGGCCGGGUUCACCCCCUAAUUGUGCUAAUAGCUCAGGGGAGAAGAAAAGGCUGGAGGAGCCGGUGGAGAAACGGGAGCCAGCGAGGUCAGCGCGCUGGUAGGUGUGAGCGCUUUGAGAAACCCAAUUGCUGCUUCAGUAUAACCAGAUUCGGGAAAAUGAAGCUGAAGUGUGAAAAAUGAAAGUGAAAAGAUAGGAACCAACCCACGGCUAUUUAUUCUAAAAAUACUGACCUAAAUACUUAAGCGCACAUAUAAAAGUAGUUGUCUUUGCUGA